rnacentral:rRNA from 1 species
AUAACGUUAAAUUAACCUGCCUCUCAGACGAGGAUAACAGUUGGAAACGACUGCUAAGACUGGAUAUGAAGUUUUGAGGCAUCUCGAAACUUUUAAAAGACCCGCAAGGGUAUGCUGAGAGAUGGGCUUGCGGCACAUUAGUUAGUUGGUAAGGUAAUGGCUUACCAAGACUAUGAUGUGUAGCUGGACUGAGAGGUUGAACGGCCACAUUGGGACUGAGAUACGGCCCAAACUCCUACGGGAGGCAGCAGUAAGGAAUUUUCGGCAAUGGAGGAAACUCUGACCGAGCAACGCCGCGUGAACGAUGAAGUAUUUAGGUACGUAAAGUUCUUUUAUUAAAGAAGAAAAAAUGAUGGAAAAAUCAUUCUGACGGUAUUUAAUGAAUAAGCCCCGGCUAACUAUGUGCCAGCAGCUGCGGUAAUACAUGGGGGGCAAGCGUUAUCCGGAUUUAUUGGGCGUAAAGGGUGCGUAGGCGGUUAAAUAAGUCUAUGGUAUAAGUUCAACGCUUAACGUUGUGAUGCUAUAGAAACUGUUUGACUAGAGUUGGAUAGAGGCAAGUGGAAUUCCAUGUGUAGCGGUAAAAUGCGUAAAUAUAUGGAGGAACACCAGUAGCGAAGGCGGCUUGCUGGGUCUUAACUGACGCUGAGGCACGAAAGCGUGGGGAGCAAACAGGAUUAGAUACCCUGGUAGUCCACGCCGUAAACGAUGAGUACUAAGUGUUGGGUUAAACCAGUGCUGAAGUUAACACAUUAAGUACUCCGCCUGAGUAGUACGUACGCAAGUAUGAAACUUAAAGGAAUUGACGGGACUCCGCACAAGCGGUGGAUCAUGUUGUUUAAUUCGAAGAUACACGAAAAACCUUACCAGGUCUUGACAUACUCUGCAAAGCUAUAGAAAUAUAGUGGAGGUUAUCAGGGAUACAGGUGGUGCAUGGUUGUCGUCAGCUCGUGUCGUGAGAUGUUGGGUUAAUCCCGCAACGAGCGCAACCCU